rnacentral:rRNA from 1 species
GAUCCUGCUCAGGAUGAACGCUAGCGACAGGCCUAACACAUGCAAGUCGAGGGGCAGCGGAGAGGUAGCAAUACCUUUGCCGGCGACCGGCGCACGGGUGAGUAACACGUAUGCAAUCCACCUGUAACAGGGGGAUAACCCGGAGAAAUCCGGACUAAUACCCCAUAAUAUGGGCUCUCCGCAUGGAGGGUCCAUUAAAGAGAGCAAUUUUGGUUACAGACGAGCAUGCGCUCCAUUAG